GUACCCAACCCACCCGGUGUGAAGUGUAAUGGGGACCAGAGUUGGGACGUACCAAACCCACCCGCGGUGAAGUUAAUGGGGAUGGUAGGUGGGAUGUACCCAACCCACCCGGUGUGAAGUUACUGGGGACGGGGGGCAGGACGUACCAAACCCACCCGAGGUGAAUGUAAUGGGGACCAGGGGUGGGACGUACCAAUCCCACCUGAGGUGAAGUUAAUGGGGCCGGGGGUGGUACAUACCCAAUGCACCUGCGGUGAAGUGUAGUGGAGAUGGGGGGCGGGACGUACCAAACCCACCCGAGAUGAAGUGUAAUGACCACAGAGGGGCGGGAUGUACCCAACGCACU